AAGUUAGUUUAUCACUCAACAGUUACUACAACUGAAGUAGCGCUGAAUCCACGGUACUUGAAGGAGAGAGAGAGAGAGAGAGAGAGAGAGAGAGAGAGAGAGAGAGAGAGAGAGAGAGAGAGAGAGAGAGAGAGAGACCGGCUGCACGUAAUUCUGUAGUCAGUUUCAAUACUAGCAUCAUACCGGUGGUGCACUUUCCGACUCGAAACUACCGGUACACCUCGCCUCAGCCCGGAUUGUAGCCGAUUAUUCACAACUCUAGCAAAAUGGCCUCGGCUGGGCCAGCUCAGGGCCCUAUCCGAAUGUAUCAUGUCACGAAUCAGCGUUAUUGGGACAAACAGUGUUUUGUGGACAGUGAUGACAGUGAAGGGGAAAACGAUGUCUAUGGUAAACCAACCUGGACUGAACUGCGCCUGUGCUUUCCGAAUGACGAGACCUAUGAUGGCCCCCUGGCAAAACUUCCCGUGGUGUGCAUGACCACAACGCUUUGGAAGGAUGGCGAUGAGCCUGAGGAUAAGGGGACCUUGCCUAAACAGUCGACCUACCCUCGCACAACGCCUAAUGGGACUGAACACCACCGUGUCAACGUUCCGUUUGACCUAGACUCCCAUCAUUUGUUCCUGCUCCACACCGUUGGCCUUCAGCGACAAGUACUUUGCUUACCCAAAGUUCAGAAUUGCCGGUAUAUCCAUGAGCGGGUUCUGUUAGUGCUGCUUCAAAACAACAGCAAAUACGAGGAACUAACCACCGAGAACGACUAUAAAAGCAGCGACAAUGAAAGCCUCUUUCCUGUCGUCGAUGGCACUGGACCACCUGGUACCAAUACCAAGUGCUACAGAGCUAACAUAUACACUAACCCUGGAGAGAAAUACUUUGUUAAUUAACGUCCACUUUGUGACGCCAGUUCCCCUGACUGUGACAGCCGCGGAAUGGGACACAGUGCAGAAAAUUGCGCCCGGUGGUGCUGGAGCACACGGCAACCUGAUUGGCCAGGGCGGCAUCACACUUCAACAGUGUCUAGUGAAUUGGAUAAUGGAAGCGGCCUCAGACGAUGCUAACCAUGAAGCCGUAAUGGACGGUUUUCCGGCUGCUGUAAGCCUCGAGGGAAUACCUGGAGAUACUAGUAAGUGGAAGAAGUGGAACAAGGACUUCUUCGAACAACGCCUAAAAGAGGCUGACAUGUCGUCAGUGUUCCAUGACGAAAACGAUCUCACCGCUGCCAUGGCUAACGAGUAACGUGGUGGUUUAGCGAAGACGAAGGACGCACUCUGUGAUGUGUCACAGCCACAGGUGGACGAGGCAGGCAUGCGUUGUGUUUGCAUGCGGACAAUUCCCAGGCAUGGUCCAAUCUGCAUUCCCUGGUCAGCGGCCCUGGUGGAGGCUUUUGUUACUUUUCAUUGCACUGUUGUUUGUGUUGCUUCUGCUGUCUUCUUUGUCACCUAGUAUCUACUACAUGAUUGUAUUCUAGCAUCAAGACUAUGCAUGACGUCAUGUUUAAGCACUGGCCAGCCUUACCUUCUUGGAGUUUUGAGGGAGUUGGAGCUGCACCAGACUUACAUUUGUUGAUUCGUGCCUCCACUGGUCUUCUCAGCCUCACUGGGUACAGUAGGUACCUGUACUUGUGCAACUGUGUAGCCGUAUGCCCGGCUAACUGUUACUUGCAUCCACUGUGCCUCGCCGCGGCUUGUUUAUAAAUUUUUCACAUUUCUCGUAUUCCAUUUCCUCCACAUGUACC